CUAACACAUGCAAGUCGAGCGGUAACACAGAGAGCUUGCUCUCGGGUGACGAGCGGCGGACGGGUGAGUAAUGUCUGGGAAACUGCCUGAUGGAGGGGGAUAACUACUGGAAACGGUAGCUAAUACCGCAUAACGUCGCAAGACCAAAGUGGGGGACCUUCGGGCCUCAUGCCAUCAGAUGUGCCCAGAUGGGAUUAGCUAGUAGGUGGGGUAAUGGCUCACCUAGGCGACGAUCCCUAGCUGGUCUGAGAGGAUGACCAGCCACACUGGAACUGAGACACGGUCCAGACUCCUACGGGAGGCAGCAGUGGGGAAUAUUGCACAAUGGGCGCAAGCCUGAUGCAGCCAUGCCGCGUGUAUGAAGAAGGCCUUCGGGUUGUAAAGUACUUUCAGCGAGGAGGAAGGCAUUAAGGUUAAUAACCUUGGUGAUUGACGUUACUCGCAGAAGAAGCACCGGCUAACUCCGUGCCAGCAGCCGCGGUAAUACGGAGGGUGCAAGCGUUAAUCGGAAUUACUGGGCGUAAAGCGCACGCAGGCGGUCUGUCAAGUCGGAUGUGAAAUCCCCGGGCUCAACCUGGGAACUGCAUUCGAAACUGGCAGGCUAGAGUCUUGUAGAGGGGGGUAGAAUUCCAGGUGUAGCGGUGAAAUGCGUAGAGAUCUGGAGGAAUACCGGUGGCGAAGGCGGCCCCCUGGACAAAGACUGACGCUCAGGUGCGAAAGCGUGGGGAGCAAACAGGAUUAGAUACCCUGGUAGUCCACGCCGUAAACGAUGUCGACUUGGAGGUUGUGCCCUUGAGGCGUGGCUUCCGGAGCUAACGCGUUAAGUCGACCGCCUGGGGAGUACGGCCGCAAGGUUAAAACUCAAAUGAAUUGACGGGGGCCCGCACAAGCGGUGGAGCAUGUGGUUUAAUUCGAUGCAACGCGAAGAACCUUACCUACUCUUGACAUCCAGAGAACUUAGCAGAGAUGCUUUGGUGCCUUCGGGAACUCUGAGACAGGUGCUGCAUGGCUGUCGUCAGCUCGUGUUGUGAAAUGUUGGGUUAAGUCCCGCAACGAGCGCAACCCUUAUCCUUUGUUGCC
rnacentral:rRNA from 1 species